AGAGUUUGAUCAUGGCUCAGAUUGAACGCUGGCGGCAUGCCUUACACAUGCAAGUCGAACGGCAGCACGGGGGCAACCCUGGUGGCGAGUGGCGAACGGGUGAGUAAUACAUCGGAACGUGUCCUGUAGUGGGGGAUAGCCCGGCGAAAGCCGGAUUAAUACCGCAUACGCUCUGCGGAGGAAAGCGGGGGCUCCUUCGGGACCUCGCGCUACAGGGGCGGCCGAUGGCAGAUUAGCUAGUUGGUGGGGUAAAGGCCUACCAAGGCGACGAUCUGUAGCUGGUCUGAGAGGACGACCAGCCACACUGGGACUGAGACACGGCCCAGACUCCUACGGGAGGCAGCAGUGGGGAAUUUUGGACAAUGGGCGCAAGCCUGAUCCAGCAAUGCCGCGUGUGUGAAGAAGGCCUUCGGGUUGUAAAGCACUUUUGUCCGGAAAGAAAACCUCAGCCCUAAUACGGCGGGGGGAUGACGGUACCGGAAGAAUAAGCACCGGCUAACUACGUGCCAGCAGCCGCGGUAAUACGUAGGGUGCAAGCGUUAAUCGGAAUUACUGGGCGUAAAGCGUGCGCAGGCGGUCCGCUAAGACAGAUGUGAAAUCCCCGGGCUUAACCUGGGAACUGCAUUUGUGACUGGCGGGCUAGAGUAUGGCAGAGGGGGGUAGAAUUCCACGUGUAGCAGUGAAAUGCGUAGAGAUGUGGAGGAAUACCGAUGGCGAAGGCAGCCCCCUGGGCCAAUACUGACGCUCAGGCACGAAAGCGUGGGGAGCAAACAGGAUUAGAUACCCUGGU
rnacentral:rRNA from 2 species